GACGAACGCUGGCGGCGCGCUUAACACAUGCAAGUCGAACGGAAAGGCCUGCUUUCCCUUGUGGAUUGCGGGUACUCGAGUGGCGAACGGGUGAGUAACACGUGAGUGAUCUGCCCCCAACUUGGGUAUAAGCCUGGGAAACUGGGUCUAAUUCCCGAUAGGACUGCAGGGUGGUGCCUGUGGUGGAAAACGAUUUUCUAGUGGUUGGGGAUGAGCUCGCGGCCUAUCAGCUUGUUGGUGGGGUAAUGGCCUACCAAGGCGGCGACGGGUAGCCGGCCUGAGAGGGUGGACGGCCACAUUGGGACUGAGAUACGGCCCAGACUCCUACGGGAGGCAGCAGUGGGGAAUAUUGCACAAUGGGCGGAAGCCUGAUGCAGAGACGCCGCGUGGGGGAUGACGGCCUUCGGGUUGUAAACUCCUUUCGACCGCGAGGAAGCCACCUGGUUGGAAGGGUGGUGACGGUAGUGGUAGAAGAAGCACCGGCUAACUACGUG
rnacentral:rRNA from 1 species